rnacentral:rRNA from 1 species
GACGAACGCUGGCGGCGUGCUUAACACAUGCAAGUCGAACGGUAAGGCCUCUUCGGGGGUACACGAGUGGCGAACGGGUGAGUAACACGUGAGUAACCUGCCCUUGACUUUGGGAUAACAUCUGGAAACAGGUGCUAAUACCGGAUAUGAGCUUGUCCUGCAUGGGAUGGGUUGGAAAGCUCGGGCGGUCAUGGGUGGACUCGCGGCCUAUCAGCUUGUUGGUGAGGUAAUGGCUCACCAAGGCUUCGACGGGUAGCCGGCCUGAGAGGGCGGCCGGCCACAUUGGGACUGAGAUACGGCCCAAACUCCUACGGGAGGCAGCAGUGGGGAAUAUUGCACAAUGGGCGGAAGCCUGAUGCAGCAACGCCGCGUGCGGGAUGACGGCCUUCGGGUUGUAAACCGCUUUCAGCAGGGACGAAGCGUGAGUGACGGUACCUGCAGAAGAAGCACCGGCUAACUACGUGCCAGCCGCCGCCGUAAAAC